GGAAAGAUUGUAGCUCAGUGGUAGAGCAUCUGACUUGCCUGCUGAAGGUCGCAGGUUCAAUCCCUGGUGUCUCCU